CCUCCUUCAUCUUGACUCAUGUCCUCAUCCUUGGAAAGAGAGUUAUUCUGUCAGCUUUCGAGUCAUACCUCCGAGGGGCCGCACUGGAGAGGGCUGCUGGACCAGAGGGACAGGACCGUCUCCUACCUGCUCUCCCUCACCCAUCCACUGCAGCUGAGAGCAUCCUCCCUCCACCAGGCUCCACUGGGGAGGAAUUUUCCCUGGAAGGGAGGAGGAUCAGGGAGAGCCUAGGGGGAUGCUGAAUGGGGACUCCAGGCCAGGAGUGGAUGAAGAUGCGUCACCCAGAAUUCAGUGCUUCCCUCAGGAUCUGGAAUUUUUCUCUACUCUAAAACAAAUUCUGCUCCAUCCCA